ACUCAAAUGAAUUGACGGGGGCCCGCACAAGCAGCGGAGCAUGUGGUUUAAUUCGAAGCAACGCGAAGAACCUUACCAGGUCUUGACAUCCUUUGACAACCUGAGAGAUCAGGCCUUCCCUUCGGGGACAAAGUGACAGAUGGUGCAUGGUUGUCGUCAGCUCGUGUCGUGAGAUGUUGGGUUAAGUCCCGCAACGAGCGCAACCCCUAUGUUUAGUUGCCAUCAUUAAGUUGGGCACUCUAGACAGACUGCCCGUGAAAGCGGGAGGAAGGUGGGGAUGACGUCAAAUCAUCAUGCCUCUUACGACCUGGGCUACACACGUGCUACAAUGGUCUGUACAGAGGGUAGCGAAGCCGUGAGGCGGAGCCAAUCUCAAAAAACAGACCUCAGUUCGGAUUGCAGGCUGCAACUCGCCUGCAUGAAGUCGGAGUUGCUAGUAAUCGCGGAUCAGAACGCCGCGGUGAAUGCGUUCCCGGGCCUUGUACACACCGCCCGU
rnacentral:rRNA from 1 species